UACGUAGGGUGCAAGCGUUAAUCGGAAUUACUGGGCGUAAAGCGUGCGCAGGCGGUUAUGUAAGACAGAUGUGAGAUCCCCGGGCUCAACCUGGGAACUGCAUUUGUGACUGCAUAGCUAGAGUACGGUAGAGGGGGAUGGAAUUCCGCGUGUAGCAGUGAAAUGCGUAGAUAUGCGGAGGAACACCGAUGGCGAAGGCAAUCCCCUGGACCUGUACUGACGCUCAUGCACGAAAGCGUGGGGAGCAAACAGG
rnacentral:rRNA from 1 species